GGAAGGAUCAUUAACACUGUUUGGGUCUUGUGCCCAAUUCCAAUUCAACAACCUGUGAACCCGUCCCUUAACAUUUAAACAACUUUAAUCUAAAACUAACGUACAUAUAUACAACCAAAUAUACAACUUUUAGCAAUGGAUAUCUUGGUUCCCACAACGAUGAAGAACGCAGCGAAAUGCGAUACGUAAUGCGAAUUGCAGUAUUCGUGAAUCAUCAAAUCUUUGAACGCAAGUUGCGCCCUCGAGAUAGCCUUGAGGGCAUGCCUCUUUGAGUAUCGGUUUAUCUACAUUUCACUUCGUCGUGAAGAGAUUGGGUCAAUUGCGGCACGCGAUUGUCUUCAAGUUUACUCCGGCGCCAAUGUGUUGCCCUUUGUGUUUCUUGGGAAUUUAUUUUCACACUAUUCGCACUGGACAAUCGGCCGGACACAAAACCAAUAUGGAAAACACUACAGAUCUCAAAUGAGGUAAGACUACCCGCUGAAUUUAAGCAUAUAAUUAAGCGGAGGAAAAGAAACUAACAAGGAUGGCAUUAGUAACGGCGAGUGAAGCUGCCAGAGCUCAAACCUGAAAUCUCUGCCUUCGCGGCAGCGAGUUGUGGUCUAUUGAAGCGUGUCUCAGUGGCGGCCCCGGUCUAAAUCAAUUGGAACAUUGUAUCAGAGAGGGUGAGAAUCCCGUCUUUGGCUGGGUGUCUGUCGCGUACGAGCCGUUUUCGAAGAGUCGGAUUGCUUGGGAGUGCAGUCCUAAGUGGGUGGUAAAUUUCAUCUAAAGCUAAAUACCUGUGGGAGACCGAUAGCGAACAAGUACCGUGAGGGAAAGAUGAAAAGAACUUUGAAAAGAGAGUUAAAAAGUACUUGAAAUUGCUGAGAACGAAGGGAUGGCGACUAGUAUUGGCGUGGGUGGCCCCCGUUGGUCGUAGUACGAGGCGAGCUGUCGGAUUGCUUGUCUUCCGUUGUUUGCAGAUUCGGCUGGACUGCGGGAUAAGGUUACCUGCUGCCUUGAUCAGAAUGGAUUCGCCUCCGUUGAAAUUGCCGUCGGAAAGGUAGCCGGUCCUUCACGGGAGCGGAACUUAUAGUCCGGCGGUGUUGAACGGUCGCGGAUCGAGGCGCUGAAACAUUCUCUGAGAUUCACCCGCUGCUGUUUGCGGCCUGCGUUUGGGGAACAAAGUUCCGUUUGCGUUGGGUCGCGGCACUCGGCGGGCUGAUCAUCUGUCUGUUCACGAUUCUGAUGAAAUGGUCGUCAUUCACCCGUCUUGAAACACGGACCAAGGAGUCUUACAUCUAUGCGAGUAAUCAAGUGGAAAACUUGUUUGCGAAAUGAAAGUGAAUGAAUGUGACCCGCAAGGGGCAACAUCGGGCGGCUAAAACAACUGUACGACCAUGAGCAUAUCUGUAGGGACCCGAAAGAUGGUGAACUAUGCUUGAGCAGGAUGAAGCCAGGGGAAACUCUGGUGGAAGUCCGAAGCGAUACUGACGUGCAAAUCGUUCGUCUGACUUGAGUAUAGGGGCGAAAGACUAAUCGAACUAUCUAGUAGCUGGUUCCCUC
rnacentral:misc_RNA from 1 species